rnacentral:tRNA from 1 species
AGAACUAUAGGUUAAAGAUUAAACCAUUGGCCUUCAAAGCCGAAAAUGAGGAUUCUAGUUUUG